AUGCCGCUACAAUGUGGUUGGUACGCACACACCUCUCUCCCCGUUAAACAAAUAUUAUCAGAGUUGCAUUUACUUACGCAUGCGCGCCCUCUCCAACGAAUAAAUAACCACCACACUGAGAGACUUAAUUCUUACCUUUGCUCCCAUUGACACAAUUCUUGGUAAGGCGUCAACACGGCUCUAGAGGGGUGCCUGUCACACAGAAUUAUACGUCAUAAGAUAAGACUCAUCUCGAGACAGUUCAAUGUGCCAUUUAAAGGCGACCCUCCUUUCAGAAAAGUCGCAAACAAAUCAGUAAGGUAUAUUAAGAAACAACCGCAAUGAAGAAAAACGUCCCGGAUCUAGCAGAGAUCUAAAAAGAGGGAAUUCGAAGAAGAAUGUUUGAAGGCAAUAAAACGCAGGCUAUCUUCCAAUUGUGCCAUUGCCAUACAUAGGAGUCUAAUGCUCAAGUCCCAGAGUCGAGACGUUAUUAAAUAAAAUACAAGCUCACCAUAGAAGCCAAGGUUAAUGUUCAACCUGUCCGCCAUCUUGGGAACAUCAUCACAAGCACCAUAAUUGGCCCCGCUUUAUGGAGAUUUAGACAAGGGCGUUAGAGAGAACACCAGCCCGCAGCAUACAAGCUAAAGUUAAUGUUCUACCUAUCGCGGACAUCAUACAGGUACAAACUGAUAUCACUGAAUCAUGGCUUCCUAUCCAAUAACACUAGAGAACCAGAUCAGGAUACAAAAAAAUUGGGAAGCUAUUUGUGAUGAUCUUGAU